rnacentral:ncRNA from 1 species
AUAAAAACAAUGAUUAAGAGGAGUAGUCGGUAUAAGCCCUAAGAGAGGAAAGGUCAGCGGCUGAAAGCCUUACCGGGAUAGGAUCGAUGAAGGUAGCUUAUGAGUUUAGUAAUCGAAAUUGGUUUGUAUCUUUAGUAGGUUAUUACGGCAGCGGACCGUUACUUCGCGAAAGAGCCCUUGUUGGGAAUUAUGGUGGUACCGCGGAAAUAUGCCUUUCGUCCAUUUG